rnacentral:rRNA from 1 species
GGGGAAUAUUGCACAAUGGGCGCAAGCCUGAUGCAGCGACGCCGCGUGAGGGAUGACGGCCUUCGGGUUGUAAACCUCUUUCAGCAGGGACGAAGCGCAAGUGACGGUACCUGCAGAAGAAGCACCGGCCAACUACGUGCCAGCAGCCGCGGUAGUACGUAGGGUGCAAGCGUUGUCCGGAAUUACUGGGCGUAAAGAGCUCGUAGGCGGUUUGUCGCGUCGUCUGUGAAAACCAGCAGCUCAACGGGUGGCUUGCAGGCGAUACGGGCAGACUUGAGUAUUUCAGGGGAGACUGGAAUUCCUGGUGUAGCGGUGAAAUGCGCAGAUAUCAGGAGGAACACCGGUGGCGAAGGCGGGUCUCUGGGAAAUAACUGACGCUGAGGAGCGAAAGCGUGGGUAGCGAAC